UCUGUACAACUUAUUGAAAAAUAAUGGACUUUGAUGUGAAACCUGGUGAUAAUUUCAUCUGCAGGACAUGUCAACAUUACCAGGACUACUAGUGUGCUAUACCAGAAAAAUACUGCAAGCAUUUCUUCAGUCUGAGGCUGACAAAGGGGAUGAGGAUCAAUGGAAAGAUGGGGGGAAAAAAAGAGAAAAAUGGGAAACCCAUUUCCCAUAUCCUGGGAAAAAGCGUUAUGAGACCCUAGAUAUAUUCAGUGAGCUGAGAGCAUUUUGGCCAUCAA